CAGUCGCCGCGGUAAUACGGAGGGUGCAAGCGUUAUCCGGAUUUAUUGGGUUUAAAGGGUCCGUAGGCGGUCUUAUAAGUCAGUGGUGAAAGCCUAUCGCUUAACGGUAGAACUGCCAUUGAUACUGUAAGUCUUGAGUAUAUUUGAAGUAACUAGAAUAAGUAGUGUAGCGGUGAAAUGCAUAGAUAUUACUUAGAACACCAAUUGCGAAGGCAGGUUACCAAGAAAUAACUGACGCUGAUGGACGAAAGCGUGGGUAGCGAACAGGAUUAGAUACCCGUGUAGUCCCUGUCUCUUAUAC
rnacentral:rRNA from 1 species